AGUGAACGCUGGCGGUAGGCCUAACACAUGCAAGUCGAACGGCAGCACAGUAAGAGCUUGCUCUUACGGGUGGCGAGUGGCGGACGGGUGAGGAAUACAUCGGAAUCUACUUUUUCGUGGGGGAUAACGUAGGGAAACUUACGCUAAUACCGCAUACGACCUACGGGUGAAAGCAGGGGAUAUUCGGACCUUGCGCGAUUGAAUGAGCCGAUGUCGGAUUAGCUAGUUGGCGGGGUAAAGGCCCACCAAGGCGACGAUCCGUAGCUGGUCUGAGAGGAUGAUCAGCCACACUGGAACUGAGACACGGUCCAGACUCCUACGGGAGGCAGCAGUGGGGAAUAUUGGGCAAUGGGCGCAAGCCUGAUCCAGCCAUACCGCGUGAGUGAAGAAGGCCUUCGGGUUGUAAAGCCCUUUUGUUGGGAAAGAAAAGCAGCGGGUUUAUCCCCCGCUGUUCUGACGGUACCCAAAGAAUAAGCACCGGCUAACUUCGUG
rnacentral:rRNA from 1 species